rnacentral:rRNA from 1 species
UACGGAGGGUGCAAGCGUUAUCCGGAAUCACUGGGUUUAAAGGGUGCGUAGGCGGCCCGAUAAGUCAGUCGUGAAAUCGCUGGGCUUAACCCUUGCAAUUGCGAUUGAGACUGUUGGACUUGAAUGAGGUUGAGGUAGUCGGAAUGUGGCAUGUAGCGGUGAAAUGCAUAGAUAUGCCAUAGAACACCGAUUGCGAAGGCAGCUUGCUGGGCCUUCAUUGACGCUGAGGCACGAAAGCGUGGGGAGCAAACAGG